GUUGUAUGGUUAAGUGACUAAGCGUACACGGUGGAUGCCUUGGCAGUCAGAGGCGAUGAAAGACGUAGUAACUUGCGAUAAGCCCAGAUUAGGUAGUAACAACCAUUUGAGUCUGGGAUUUCUGAAUGGGGAAACCCACGUGCAUAAGCACGUAUCCUUACCUGAAUACAUAGGGUAAGGAGGCGAACCGGGGGAACUGAAACAUCUAAGUACCCCGAGGAAAAGAAAUCAACCGAGAUUCCGAAAGUAGCGGCGAGCGAAAUUGGACUAGCCCUUAAGCUUUACACACGUUAGACGAACGGUCUGGAAAGUCCGACGAUACAGGGUGAUAGUCCCGUAGUUGACGACGUGUGUUCAGUGAAAUCGAGUAGGGCGGGACACGUGAUAUCCUGUCUGAAUAUGGGGGGACCAUCCUCCAAGGCUAAAUACUACUGACUGACCGAUAGUGAACCAGUACCGUGAGGGAAAGGCGAAAAGAACCCCUGUGAGGGGAGUGAAAUAGAACCUGAAACCGUGUACGUACAAGCAGUAGGAGCAGGCUUGUCCUGUGACUGCGUACCUUUUGUAUAAUGGGUCAGCGACUUAUAUUCAGUGGCAAGGUUAACCAUCUAGGGGAGCCGUAGGGAAACCGAGUCUUAACUGGGCGUUCAGUCUCUGGAUAUAGACCCGAAACCAGGUGAUCUAGCCAUGGGCAGGUUGAAGGUUGAGUAACAUCAACUGGAGGACCGAACCGACUAAUGUUGAAAAAUUAGCGGAUGACUUGUGGCUAGGGGUGAAAGGCCAAUCAAACCUGGAGAUAGCUGGUUCUCCCCGAAAGCUAUUUAGGUAGCGCCUCGGACGAAUACUACUGGGGGUAGAGCACUGUUAAGGCUAGGGGGUCAUCCCGACUUACCAACCCUUUGCAAACUCCGAAUACCAGUAAGUACUAUCCGGGAGACACACGGCGGGUGCUAACGUCCGUCGUGGAGAGGGAAACAACCCAGACCGCCAGCUAAGGUCCCAAAUUACUACUAAGUGGGAAACGAUGUGGGAAGGCUCAGACAGCCAGGAUGUUGGCUUAGAAGCAGCCAUCAUUUAAAGAAAGCGUAAUAGCUCACUGGUCGAGUCGGCCUGCGCGGAAGAUGUAACGGGGCUAAGUAGUAAACCGAAGCUGCGGCAAUGUGCUUUUGCACAUUGGGUAGGGGAGCGUUCUGUAAGCGGUUGAAGGUGUGUGGUAACGCAUGCUGGACGUAUCAGAAGUGCGAAUGCUGACAUGAGUAACGAUAAAGGGGGUGAAAAACCUCCUCGCCGGAAGACCAAGGGUUCCUGUCCAACGUUAAUCGGGGCAGGGUAAGUCGACCCCUAAGGCGAGGCCGAAAGGCGUAGUCGAUGGGAAACGGGUUAAUAUUCCCGUACUUCUUACAAUUGCGAUGGGGGGACGGAGAAGGCUAGGUGGGCCUGGCGACGGUUGUCCAGGUUCAAGUGCGUAGGCUUAAGAGUUAGGUAAAUCCGGCUCUUUUUAAGGCUGAGACACGACGUCGAGCACCUACGGGUGUGAAGUCAUUGAUGCCAUGCUUCCAGGAAAAGCCUCUAAGCUUCAGAUUGUAAGGAAUCGUACCCCAAACCGACACAGGUGGUCGGGUAGAGAAUACCAAGGCGCUUGAGAGAACUCGGGUGAAGGAACUAGGCAAAAUGGUACCGUAACUUCGGGAGAAGGUACGCUCUCGACGGUGAAGUCCCUCGCGGAUGGAGCUAUUGAGAGUCGCAGAUACCAGGUGGCUGCAACUGUUUAUUAAAAACACAGCACUGUGCAAAAUCGUAAGAUGACGUAUACGGUGUGACGCCUGCCCGGUGCCGGAAGGUUAAUUGAUGGGGUUAGACUUCGGUCGAAGCUCUUGAUCGAAGCCCCGGUAAACGGCGGCCGUAACUAUAACGGUCCUAAGGUAGCGAAAUUCCUUGUCGGGUAAGUUCCGACCUGCACGAAUGGCGUAAUGAUGGCCACGCUGUCUCCACCCGAGACUCAGUGAAAUUGAAAUCGCUGUGAAGAUGCAGUGUACCCGCGGCUAGACGGAAAGACCCCGUGAACCUUUACUACAGCUUGGCACUGAACAUUGACCCUACAUGUGUAGGAUAGGUGGGAGGCUUUGAAGCACGUACGCCAGUAUGUGUGGAGCCGUCCUUGAAAUACCACCCUUGUAGUGUUGAUGUUCUAACGUCGACCCCUAAUCGGGGUUGCGGACAGUGCCUGGUGGGUAGUUUGACUGGGGCGGUCUCCUCCCAAAGAGUAACGGAGGAGCACGAAGGUGGGCUAAUCACGGUUGGACAUCGUGAGGUUAGUGCAAUGGCAUAAGCCCGCUUGACUGCGAGAAUGACAAUUCGAGCAGGUGCGAAAGCAGGUCAUAGUGAUCCGGUGGUUCUGAAUGGAAGGGCCAUCGCUCAACGGAUAAAAGGUACUCCGGGGAUAACAGGCUGAUACCGCCCAAGAGUUCAUAUCGACGGCGGUGUUUGGCACCUCGAUGUCGGCUCAUCACAUCCUGGGGCUGAAGUCGGUCCCAAGGGUAUGGCUGUUCGCCAUUUAAAGUGGUACGCGAGCUGGGUUUAGAACGUCGUGAGACAGUUCGGUCCCUAUCUGCCGUGGGCGUUGGAAGAUUGAAGGGGGCUGCUCCUAGUACGAGAGGACCGGAGUGGACGAACCUCUGGUGUUCGGGUUGUGUCGCCAGACGCAUUGCCCGGUAGCUAAGUUCGGAAUCGAUAACCGCUGAAAGCAUCUAAGCGGGAAGCGAGCCCUGAGAUGAGUCUUCCCUGAUACUUUAAGUAUCCUAAAGGGUUGUCGGAGACUACGACGUUGAUAGGUCAGGUGUGUAAGUGCUGUGAGGCAUUGAGCUAACUGAUACUAAUUGCCCGUGAGGCUUAACCAUACAACACCCAAGGGGUUU
rnacentral:rRNA from 1 species